GACGAACGCUGGCGGCGUGCCUAAUACAUGCAAGUUGAGCGAUGAAGAUUGGUGCUUGCACCAAUUUGAAGAGCAGCGAACGGGUGAGUAACGCGUGGGGAAUCUGCCUUUGAGCGGGGGACAACAUUUGGAAACGAAUGCUAAUACCGCAUAACAACUUUAAACAUAAGUUUUAAGUUUGAAAGAUGCAAUUGCAUCACUCAAAGAUGAUCCCGCGUUGUAUUAGCUAGUUGGUGAGGUAAAGGCUCACCAAGGCGAUGAUACAUAGCCGACCUGAGAGGGUGAUCGGCCACAUUGGGACUGAGACACGGCCCAAACUCCUACGGGAGGCAGCAGUAGGGAAUCUUCGGCAAUGGACGAAAGUCUGACCGAGCAACGCCGCGUGCGUGAAGAAGGUUUUCGGAUCGUAACUCUGUUGGUAGAGAAGAACGUUGGUGAGAGUGGAAAGCUCAUCAAGUGACGGUAACUACCCAGAAAGGGACGGCUAACUACGUG
rnacentral:rRNA from 1 species